AAAACUACAGAGAAAAAGAAAGUUGCUGUCCCCUCUCACUAGUUUUCUCCUAGUAGAUUUGUGAAAUUUUUUUCUUACCAUGUCGUCUCCCGGAACUUCAAGAAAACGUCAGAGAGACACUAGUUUGUCAGAGUCCACUGAAGAUUAUGAAGAACUUCCGACCAAACUUAUUUCAUCUGCAACAUCAGCGUGGAAGAUCCAGGACCUCGACCAAAAUUCAAUUUUCUUUGCGGGUGAUUGCUUAACAGUAGAAAGCUUGAUAAAUCUUUUAAAGAAAAGACGUAGUGUACCAGAUGUUGUUCCAAAUAUAGUCAAAACAUUGAUUGAUUUUACUAAAGAAUGCUUAAACUUUACAAUUGAUGAGGACACUUGGCAAAUGUGUGAUAUAACUGUUCGACCAGAGCAAGAAAAAGGAAUUGAAAUUCUUAAAGAUACCAAGAAAAAUGUCAGACUUUUUGCAAAUAAGAUAAGAUGUGAGCAAUCAGAAUAUCUUGAUGAAGAACCACUCAAUCGAGAACUGUUUGAAAGAUGGUACUGCAAAGUUGUGGAUUUUCUUGACCAGGCAGUUCAGUUGUUAAACUUGUUAAUCAAUGAGGCUUUUGAUGAUAUUGAAAACAAGAAACAAACAAGUCCUUUUCAUAUUAAAGAAGCUUCAUUUACCUAUCUUUUUAUGAAGUUUACAGAAAUAUGCUUUCUUACUCCAGAGUAAGUAGUUUUUAAUUGGUGAAGGAGAUAAAACUAAUUUAUGGAUUAGAAACAAGAAAGUUGGAAGUCUUCCUGAUGUACGUUACUGGCAACAGUCAUCCAUACCAAACAGAAAUGUAUUAAUGAUGCUAGCAGAGGUUAAAAGUACAGCUUUAAAGACUUCAGAAGAUACUGUAGAGAGUGAAGAAUUCAGUUCAACUGAAGAUAUAAGUACAACUGACAGCACAAGCCCAAGCUAUCAUAAGAAGCCAGAAAAAUCACCAUGGAUUCACAGUAAAAUUCAUCCAGAUGUUUUAGCACAGUUUGGUCAUGAAAUGCUUGCUGAAUGUCAUAACUCAAUAUUUGUUCCAGAAACACUUGGCAUCAUGUGCAUGAAAACAAAGAUAAUCUUCUAUUACCUUCAGCUGUCCAAUAAACAUUACAGGGACCUUAAAGGAUUCGAACCAGGUGCUGUGGAAAACAUGUGUUCACAUAUAAAAUACACUCAAAUAUUUGAUAUAAUGAAAGCAGAAGACAGAAAUCAGUUACUUGAAGUCUUCUUCUGGUUAGGUUGUUUGCAGAAAAGAGGAUUACAGAGCCAUUAUCUUGUUACUUGAUCAUGAAAAAGACAAAAAGGAAAUUGAGCCAUUUACAAGAUAGGUAAUUCCCUAGUCAAGACUGCAAAGUCAGCACACAAGCUGAUCUAGCUGAGGAGGAUUUUAUUUGUAUUAUGAAGCAUGGUGUCUCUGCUUCAUUAUUCGAUUGAGGACUUGUUGAACUGUUGAGUUUCAAAUAUUCUCAGUUGAAAGAACAAAAUGGAAGAAAGCAUGGUGUAUGCAUAAAAUAGAACUAUUUGCAUAAGCUGACAUAUAAUCAUAAGAGAUUGGAACUUAUAUUAACAUAAAUUUUCUUUUUUUAUUAUUCUUUAUCUUUAUUGGUUGUUAAUUACAAAAGUAUGAUUAAAUUGAUUUAUAGACACUUAAA